UGAGUAACACGUGGGUAACCUGCCUGUAAGACUGGGAUAACUCCGGGAAACCGGGGCUAAUACCGGAUGCUUGUUUGAACCGCAUGGUUCAAACAUAAAAGGUGGCUUCGGCUACCACUUACAGAUGGACCCGCGGCGCAUUAGCUAGUUGGUGAGGUAAUGGCUCACCAAGGCAACGAUGCGUAGCCGACCUGAGAGGGUGAUCGGCCACACUGGGACUGAGACACGGCCCAGACUCCUACGGGAGGCAGCAGUAGGGAAUCUUCCGCAAUGGACGAAAGUCUGACGGAGCAACGCCGCGUGAGUGAUGAAGGUUUUCGGAUCGUAAAGCUCUGUUGUUAGGGAAGAACAAGUACCGUUCGAAUAGGGCGGUACCUUGACGGUACCUAACCAGAAAGCCACGGCUAACUACGUGCCAGCAGCCGCGGUAAUACGUAGGUGGCAAGCGUUGUCCGGAAUUAUUGGGCGUAAAGGGCUCGCAGGCGGUUUCUUAAGUCUGAUGUGAAAGCCCCCGGCUCAACCGGGGAGGGUCAUUGGAAACUGGGGAACUUGAGUGCAGAAGAGGAGAGUGGAAUUCCACGUGUAGCGGUGAAAUGCGUAGAGAUGUGGAGGAACACCAGUGGCGAAGGCGACUCUCUGGUCUGUAACUGACGCUGAGGAGCGAAAGCGUGGGGAGCGAACAGGAUUAGAUACCCUGGUAGUCCACGCCGUAAACGAUGAGUGCUAAGUGUUAGGGGGUUUCCGCCCCUUAGUGCUGCAGCUAACGCAUUAAGCACUCCGCCUGGGGAGUACGGUCGCAAGACUGAAACUCAAAGGAAUUGACGGGGGCCCGCACAAGCGGUGGAGCAUGUGGUUUAAUUUGAAGCAACGCGAAGAACCUUACCAGGUCUUGACAUCCUCUGACAAUCCUAGAGAUAGGACGUCCCCUUCGGGGGCAGAGUGACAGGUGGUGCAUGGUUGUCGUCAGCUCGUGUCGUGAGAUGUUGGGUUAAGUCCCGCAACGAGCGCAACCCUUGAUCUUAGUUGCCAGCAUUCAGUUGGGCACUCUAAGGUGACUGCCGGUGACAAACCGGAGGAAGGUGGGGAUGACGUCAAAUCAUCAUGCCCCUUAUGACCUGGGCUACACACGUGCUACAAUGGACAGAACAAAGGGCAGCGAAACCGCGAGGUUAAGCCAAUCCCACAAAUCUGUUCUCAGUUCGGAUCGCAGUCUGCAACUCGACUGCGUGAAGCUGGAAUCGCUAGUAAUCGCGGAUCAGCAUGCCGCGGUGAAUACG
rnacentral:rRNA from 1 species